GGGGGAUAUUGCACAAUGGGGGAAACCCUGAUGCAGCAACGCCGCGUGAGGGAAGACGGUUUUCGGAUUGUAAACCUCUGUCCUCAGGGACGAUAAUGACGGUACCUGAGGAGGAAGCUCCGGCUAACUACGUGCCAGCAGCCGCGGUAAUACGUAGGGAGCAAGCGUUGUCCGGAUUUACUGGGUGUAAAGGGUGCGUAGGCGGCUUGGCAAGUCGGGCGUGAAAGCUAUGGGCUUAACCCAUAAAUUGCGUUCGAAACUGUUGAGCUUGAGUGAAGUAGAGGUAGGCGGAAUUCCCGGUGUAGCGGUGAAAUGCGUAGAGAUCGGGAGGAACACCAGUGGCGAAGGCGGCCUACUGGGCUUUAACUGACGCUGAGGCACGAAAGUGUGGGUAGCAAACAGGAUUAGAUACCCUGGUAGUCCACGCCCUAAACGAUGUCUACUAGUUGUUGGGGACGAUAGUCCUUGGUAACGCAGCUAACGCGUAAAGUAGACCGCCUGGGGAGUACGGUCGCAAGAUUAAAACUCAAAGGAAUUGACGGGGACCCGCACAAGCGGUGGAUGAUGUGGAUUAAUUCGAUGCAACGCGAAAAACCUUACCUAGCCUUGACAUGCCAGGAAGGCCUGAGAGAUCAGGCCGUGCCCGCAAGGGAAUCUGGACACAGGUGCUGCAUGGCUGUCGUCAGCUCGUGUCGUGAGAUGUUGGGUUAAGUCCCGCAACGAGCGCAACCCUUGUCAUUAGUUGCUACGAAAGGGCACUCUAAUGAGACUGCCGGUGACAAACCGGAGGAAGGUGGGGAUGACGUCAAGUCCUCAUGGCCCUUAUGGCUAGGGCCUCACACGUCAUACAAUGGUCGGAACAGAGGGAAGCGAAGCCGCGAGGUGGAGCGAAACCCAUAAAACUGUUCUCAGUUCGGACUGCAGUCUGCAACUCGACUGCACGAAGAUGGAAUCGCUAGUAAUCGCGAAUCAGCAUGUCGCGGUGAAUACGUUCUCG
rnacentral:rRNA from 1 species